rnacentral:rRNA from 1 species
UACGUAGGGUGCGAGCGUUGUCCGGAAUUAUUGGGCUUAAAGAGCUCGUAGGCGGUUUGUUGCGUCUAUCGUGAAAACCUGCAGCUUAACUGUGGGCUUGCGGUGGAUACGGGCAGACUUGAGUUCGGUAGGGGAGACUGGAAUUCCUGGUGUAGCGGUGAAAUGCGCAGAUAUCAGGAGGAACACCAGUGGCGAAGGCGGGGCUCUGGGCCGAUACUGACGCUGAGGAGCGAAAGCGUGGGGAGCGAACAGG